rnacentral:tRNA from 1 species
GGAGUGGUAGUUCAGCUGGUUAGAAUGCCAGUCCCGAGUACUCGGGAAAGUCGCGGGUUCGAGUCCCGUCCAUUACA